CCAAGUCUGACUAGAGCUGGCUGAAAAGGCUGAGCUGCAUCAGCACACACGGUGACUGCCACUUGUAUGAUUUCUCGAGGCUGUGGCUGGCAAUUUAAACAUCAAUUGUGCCUGACAUUCAAGAGAGUUGCUGCAUGCAUAAAUAAAUGAAUGAAUCUGAAAGUAGAACAAUGAGCAGGCUUUUGCAAAUACUUCAGGAGGUGGUGCUCUGGGAAGUGAUUAGGCCAUUAGUGCUCUUAUGGAAGAGGCCCCAGAGAGCUCCUCCACACUUCUACCAUGUGAGGAUGCAACAGGCUGGCAGCCUGCAACUGCAAGGGGAAUCUGACAACACCAUCACUCUUGGACAAACGACCUUCA